rnacentral:rRNA from 1 species
UACGUAGGUGGCAAGCGUUGUCCGGAUUUAUUGGGUUUAAAGGGUGCGUAGGCGGUCUUAUAAGUCAGUGCUGAAAUAUCCCGGCUUAACCGGGAGGGUGGCAUUGAUACUGUAGGACUUGAGUAAAGUUGAGGUUGGCGGAAUUGACGGUGUAGCGGUGAAAUGCUUAGAUAUCGUCAAGAACACCGAUAGUGAAGACAGCUUACUAGGCUACAACUGACGCUGAGGCACGAAAGUGUGGGGAUCAAACAGG